UACGAAGGGGGCUAGCGUUGUUCGGAAUUACUGGGCGUAAAGCGAGCGUAGGUUGCGCCGCAAGUCAGGGGUGAAAUCCCAGAGCUUAACUCUGGAACUGCCUUUGAAACUGCGGUGCUGGAAUCUCAGAGGGGAUAGCGGAAUUCCAAAUGUAGAGGUGAAAUUCGUAGAUAUUUGGAGGAACACCGGUGGCGAAGGCGGCUAUCUGGAUGAGUAUUGACACUGAGGCUCGAAAGUGCGGGGAUCAAACAGG
rnacentral:rRNA from 1 species